CCUACGGGAGGCUGCAGUGGGGAAUAUUGCGCAAUGGGCGAAAGCCUGACGCAGCGACGCCGCGUGAGGGAUGAAGGUCUUCGGAUUGUAAACCUCUGUCAGCAGGGAAGAACGGUCACUGUGCUAAUCAGCAGUGAAUUGACGGUACCUGCAAAGGAAGCACCGGCUAACUCCGUGCCAGCAGCCGCGGUAAUACGGAGGGUGCGAGCGUUAAUCGGAAUUACUGGGCGUAAAGGGCUCGUAGGCGGUAUGUCAAGUCAAGGGUGAAAUGCCCGGGCUCAACGUGGGAACUGCCUUUGAAACUGGCAAACUGGAGUGUAGGAGAGGAUAGUGGAAUGCCAGGUGUAGGAGUGAAAUCCGUAGAUAUCUGGAGGAACAUCAGUGGCGAAGGCGACUAACUGGCACAUAACUGACGCUGAGGAGCGAAAGCGUGGGUAGCAAACAGGAUUAGAUACCCCGGUAGUC
rnacentral:rRNA from 1 species